rnacentral:rRNA from 1 species
GCGAACGCUGGCGGCAGGCUUAACACAUGCAAGUCGAGCGGGCACUUUCGGGUGUCAGCGGCGGACGGGUGAGUAACGCGUGGGAACGUGCCCUCUGGUUCGGAAUAACUCAGGGAAACUUGAGCUAUUACCGGAUACGCCCUUUUGGGGAAAGGCUUGCUGCCGGAGGAUCGGCCCGCGUCUGAUUAGCUAGUUGGUGAGGUAACGGCUCACCAAGGCGACGAUCAGUAGCUGGUCUGAGAGGAUGAUCAGCCACACUGGGACUGAGACACGGCCCAGACUCCUACGGGAGGCAGCAGUGGGGAAUAUUGGACAAUGGGCGCAAGCCUGAUCCAGCCAUGCCGCGUGAGUGAUCAAGGCCUUAGGGUUGUAAAGCUCUUUUAUCCGGGACGAUAAUGACGGUACCGGAGGAAUAAGCCCCGGCUAACUUCGUG